UACUUCGCGGGACACCGGAGUCGGGGGCGAGUGAAGCGGGAAGAGCUCAAAUUUGAAAUCUGGCAGUCUUCGAUUGUCCGAGUUGUAAUCUAUAGAGGCGUUUUCCGUGCCGGACCGUGUCCCAGUCUCCUGGAAAGGAGAAUCAAAGAGGGUGAUAAUCCCGUACUUAACACGACCACCGGUGCUCUGUGAUACGUCUUCUACGAGUCGAGUUGUUUGGGAAUGCAGCUCAAAAUGGGUGGUGAAUUCCAUCUAAAGCUAAAUAUUGGCGAGAGACCGAUAGCGAACAAGUACCGUGAGGGAAAGAUGAAAAGCACUUUGGAAAGAGAGUUAAACAGUACGUGAAAUUGUUGAAAGGGAAACGAUUGAAGUCAGUCGUGUUCUUUGGAUUCAGCCAGUUCUGCUGGUCUACUUCCUUUGAACGGGUCAACAUCAGUUUUGUCCGGUGGAUAAAGGCAGUAGGAAUGUAGCUUCUCCGGAAGUGUUAUAGCCUAUUGUCACAUACACUGGGUGAGACUGAGGACUGCAGCUCGCCUUUAUGGCCGACCUUCGGGUACGUUCGAGCUUAGGAUGUUGACAUAAUGGCUUUAAACGACCCGUCUUAAACCCGGGACCAAAAAAAAAAAAAAAAAAAACCACACAACAACCAAAAAACAAAAUACAAACAAAACAAACAACAAAC
rnacentral:rRNA from 3 species